GAUGAACGCUGGCGGCGUGCCUAAUACAUGCAAGUCGAGCGAACAGACGAGGAGCUUGCUCCUCUGACGUUAGCGGCGGACGGGUGAGUAACACGUGGAUAACCUACCUAUAAGACUGGGAUAACUUCGGGAAACCGGAGCUAAUACCGGAUAACAUGUUGAACCGUAUGGUUCAACAGUGAAAGACGGUCUUGCUGUCACUUAUAGAUGGAUCCGCGCCGCAUUAGCUAGUUGGUAAGGUAACGGCUUACCAAGGCAACGAUGCGUAGCCGACCUGAGAGGGUGAUCGGCCACACUGGAACUGAGACACGGUCCAGACUCCUACGGGAGGCAGCAGUAGGGAAUCUUCCGCAAUGGGCGAAAGCCUGACGGAGCAACGCCGCGUGAGUGAAGAAGGUCUUCGGAUCGUAAAACUCUGUUAUUAGGGAAGAACAAAUGUGUAAGUAACUAUGCACGUCUUGACGGUACCUAAUCAGAAAGCCACGGCUAACUACGUG
rnacentral:rRNA from 1 species